GUAGGUGGCAAGCGUUGUCCGGAAUUAUUGGGCGUAAAGCGCGCGCAGGCGGUUCUUUAAGUCUGAUGUGAAAGCCCACGGCUCAACCGUGGAGGGUCAUUGGAAACUGGAGAACUUGAGUACAGAAGAGGAAAGCGGAAUUCCACGUGUAGCGGUGAAAUGCGUAGAGAUGUGGAGGAACACCAGUGGCGAAGGCGGCUUUCUGGUCUGUAACUGACGCUGAGGCGCGAAAGCGUGGGGAGCAAACAGGGAUUAGAUACCCUGGUAGUCCACGCCGUAAACGAUGAGUGCUAAGUGUUAGGGGGUUUCCGCCCCCUUAGUGCUGCAGCUAACGCAUUAAGCACUCCGCUGGGAGUACGCCGCAAGCUG
rnacentral:rRNA from 1 species